rnacentral:rRNA from 2 species
AGAGUUUGAUCCUGGCUCAGAGCGAACGCUGGCGGCAGGCUUAACACAUGCAAGUCGAACGGGCACCUUCGGGUGUCAGUGGCAGACGGGUGAGUAACACGUGGGAACGUGCCCAUCGGUUCGGAACAACCCAGGGAAACUUGGGCUAAUACCGAAUACGACCUUACGGUGAAAGAUUUAUCGCCGAUGGAUCGGCCCGCGUCUGAUUAGCUAGUUGGUGAGGUAAUGGCUCACCAAGGCGACGAUCAGUAGCUGGUCUGAGAGGAUGAUCAGCCACACUGGGACUGAGACACGGCCCAGACUCCUACGGGAGGCAGCAGUGGGGAAUAUUGGACAAUGGGCGAAAGCCUGAUCCAGCCAUGCCGCGUGAGUGAUGAAGGCCUUAGGGUUGUAAAGCUCUUUCGACGGGGACGAUAAUGACGGUACCCGUAGAAGAAGCCCCGGCUAACUUCGUGCCAGCAGCCGCGGUAAUACGAAGGGGGCUAGCGUUGCUCGGAAUCACUGGGCGUAAAGGGCGCGUAGGCGGCCGAUCAAGUCAGAGGUGAAAGCCCAAGGCUCAACCUUGGAAUUGCCUUUGAUACUGUUCGGCUCGAGACCGGAAGAGGUAAGUGGAACUGCGAGUGUAGAGGUGAAAUUCGUAGAUAUUCGCAAGAACACCAGUGGCGAAGGCGGCUUACUGGUCCGGUUCUGACGCUGAGGCGCGAAAGCGUGGGGAGCAAACAGGAUUAGAUACCCCGGUAGUCC